CACACACGAUACAUUGUCUCCCCAAAAUCACAACUUUAGCCAUAUUUUUUUUUUAAAGCAAUCAGCCAUACUUUUGUUAAAUCAAUCACAUGCAAAUCAAUAUUUUACAACAAUCAAUCCACUUGGAAAUUUCCUCACAAGCUCUUCUUCAUCCCUGAAGUGCGCAGCAACCAUAGGUAAAUUCCUCUCAACUUUGAGAUUUCUCCAUCUCAUUCUUAGUUUCUCUGCAUAUAUUGAAGAGAAGCAAAAAUCUGAAAUAUUGUGCAGUGAUUCCAGCAAACAAGCAAAUUCAGAAUCAGGCAGCAACCAUUUCACAUCCUAAAUACCUAAAGGUUUCCUCUCGAGCCCUUACCUCAUUUGCUCGACUGUUAAAAAUCAAGCUCUUCAUAUGUGCCAUUCCAGUAAACCAAUAUACACAACAAAACAUUCAAGCAUUUCAAUAGUAUGACUUUCAUUAUUACAUAUACAUACAUGAUAGCAUGAUUCAUUGAAAAGAAAAGAUUUUAUUUUGAAGCAUAUCUAUUAAUAAGAAUAAAGAAAAGUCUUGAGUUUGAUUUUGAUUGCCGAGUUCCAAUGUUGGAGUGUCUGGUUGGGUCUGCUGAGUCGGGGAGGAUGAGAGUUGUAUUUGUGUGAGCCGAAGGAGAGGACGGCGGUGGCCUUCAUGGUUGCUCGCCGGGAAUGGUGUGCUGACGGUGGUGGCGCGGAGCCACUGACCGAGGCUGCCGGAUCUGUGAACAGAGGGUGGGGAGAGAGGAGCGGCUGCUUCAAUGGGGUUCAGCGGAGGGAGGCUAGGGCUCGGCGGCGGCUCCGCCGCUGUUGUCCGGCCGAGGAUGGAGCAUGGGAGAUAGAGGGCGCCGGUGGCAGCCCGCCUCAUCUGUUGCUGCUGUCGACGGUGGCGCGGCUUGUCGCUGCUGCUCCUCCGGUGAGCACCACGGUGGGCGGCUGUUACCAGCCGAAGAGAGAAAGGCAGAGAGGGAGAGGAAGGAUGAGAGUGCGGUCUAGUCGGGAACCUGUGCUGAACUUGGCCCCGUUAGAGGUUCUAGCUCGAUUGUGUCGAGUCGAGCGGAUUGGAAUCGAGGCUCUCAUAGAGAGGAUGCACGGCUCGUUUGACGAGUGAGUUGCAGGACGGCGGCGACCUUGGCCUUGCUGCCGUCGACCUGAGGAGGGAGAACCGAGCGUCGUCAGCGGCUGUCGUUGUUGCUCCGGCAAGCUUCGGCGGUGGCGAAAUUCUGAGGGAGAAGGGUGCUGCUGCGUGCGUGAGUUUGUGUAGGUAGAGGGAAAACUAGGGAGAAGAAGAUGGGGUAGAGGGAAAGGGUCGGUCGUCGGCUUCUCGCCGGAAGGAGCCGCGGCAGCGGGACUGAUGGCUGAGAGAGAGAGGUCGAGAGAGAGAUGACAGAUUUAGUUGUAUGCGUGUGUGUGUUAUGCGGCUGGGGGAAGAAGAAGGGGGGGGGGAAGUGUGGGCUUUAGGUUUGGGUUUUGGGAAUUGGGUUUGAUUAUUGGGCUUUGAAUGUUGGGCUUUUGUUUUAAAUUUUCAGUUGGGCCGAUUUUCUUUUAUUAAGCUGGGCCUUUGAUUAUUUUAAAUCAUGGGCUGCCCAAGUAUUAAUUUAAUUGGAUUUGUGCAGAUUUUAUUUAAAGGAGCUACACUAUUAUAAUUAAUUAGACUUAUUAAGUUUAAUUAAUUAUUUUCAAAGAGUAAAUUUUUAUAAUAAUAUUAAAUUAUUAUUAUAAGCAUAUUUUAAGUAAAUUACUUAUUAUAUGCUAAGCAUGACAAUAUUUGCAUUAUAUUUUGCAAUAAGAAUAUUUAUGAUUUAAUUGGUUUUAUUUAUAAUUCCAAUUAUUAAAAAAAGAUGAGUAAGAAUAUUGUUGGUGUUCUUAACUCAAGAGAAAUGUUUUCAAUUAUUUAUUCAUUAAAUUUUGAAAACCCGGCUAAGUGAAUCAUAGAAUAUUAAGCACUUCACCAUGACUUAAGAUUAGAAUUCAAGGAGACCUAUUAAGAAUAGAUUUCUUGUAGGCUUUGAGCAUCAGGAGGAUUAGCACUGCUAUUCCGAUUCAGAGAUAAGGUUAAACGACAGGCUUUGCCUAGACAGGUGGGCUUAUUUUUCAAAUGUAUGCUUGAGUUAUUAAGCUCUAAAUGUUUCAUGAAUUGAAAACUGUUUAUCCAAUAAAUAUUUUUGUGCGCUCUGUUAUGUUUAAGGCUCGCAAUUCAUGGAUCGAUCGAGGUUCUCUUAUGACCUAACACGUUGUUUGAGAAUUGUGUACACUUGUUAGUUGUUUCGGUGGGUUGAUCUCCAUCGGGCACUAAUUCAUGUAAGAGGCGUUAUAAGGGUGCUCGGCUGGAUGUGUUCCGGAGCAUGUAUCAUGUAAGGCCUGCCCGGGUAGCGUCCCGAGGUCAAUUCAACUUGUCUGAGUUACGUCCUCAGGGCAAGUGUCAUGGGAGAAAGCGAUACGUCGGUGGCUAAAAGGUCCGGUAUCACAGCGAGUAACUAAACAGAGUGUGACAAUGGCGCGCUAAUAAAAUGAAAUACUUUAACAUGCUUAGAAGUUAUUUUUGUUUUAAAACCUUCUAAGUUAUGUCAUGAAUGAUUGGAUAAACUGCUUUUACGAAUUGUGAAAUGUUUUAAAAGUUGCAGCCCACUAAGUACAUUAGUACUUAGACCCAAAUAUUUUCAAAUGUUUUUCAGGUUGAUGGCUGGUGCUGACGGGGAGAGCUGAGGCUAGGGUUCAACUCCGU
rnacentral:lncRNA from 1 species